rnacentral:rRNA from 1 species
UUGGAGGGCAAGUCUGGUGCCAGCAGCCGCGGUAAUUCCAGCUCCAAUAGCGUAUAUUAAAGUUGUUGCAGUUAAAAAGCUCGUAGUUGAAUUUCGGGAUCAGACUGUCGGUCGUGCCUCGGUACGCACUGGCAUUAUUGGUUCCUAACUUCUGAAGAACCGCGAUGUCAUUAAUUUGGUGUCGCGGGGAAUCAGGACUGUUACUUUGAAAAAAUUAGAGUGUUUAAAGCAGGCGCACGCUUGAAUACAUUAGCAUGGAAUAAUGAAAUAGGACGUUUGAUUCUAUUUUGUUGGUUUCUAGGAUCGACGUAAUGAUUAAUAGGGAUAGUUGGGGGCAUUAGUAUUCAAUUGUCAGAGGUGAAAUUCUUGGAUUUAUUGAAGACUAACUACUGCGAAAGCAUUUGCCAAGGAUGUUUUCAUUAAUCAAGAACGAAAGUUAGGGGAUCGAAGACGAUCAGAUACCGUCGUAGUCUUAACCAUAAACUAUGCCGACUAGGGAUCGGAUGAUGUUAAUUUUAUAAUGACUCAUUCGGCGCCUUACGGGAAAC